UUGUCUCAAAGAUUAAGCCAUGCAUGUCUAAGUAUAAGCAACUUGUACUGUGAAACUGCGAAUGGCUCAUUAAAUCAGUUAUCGUUUAUUUGAUAGUACCUUACUACAUGGAUACCUGUGGUAAUUCUAGAGCUAAUACAUGCUAAAAACCCCGACUUCAGGAAGGGGUGUAUUUAUUAGAUAAAAAACCAACGCCCUUCGGGGCUCCUUGGUGAAUCAUAAUAACUUAACGAAUCGCAUGGCCUUGCGCCGGCGAUGGUUCAUUCAAAUUUCUGCCCUAUCAACUUUCGAUGGUAGGAUAGUGGCCUACCAUGGUGGCAACGGGUAACGGGGAAUUAGGGUUCGAUUCCGGAGAGGGAGCCUGAGAAACGGCUACCACAUCCAAGGAAGGCAGCAGGCGCGCAAAUUACCCAAUCCCGAUACGGGGAGGUAGUGACAAUAAAUACUGAUACGGGGCUCUUUUGGGUCUCGUAAUUGGAAUGAGAACAAUUUAAAUCCCUUAACGAGGAACAAUUGGAGG
rnacentral:rRNA from 2 species